UUUUCACUUCUUUUCGGUGUCUCAUAAAAAGAUCAACAGAGCAUCGAAUCGUACAGGUAUAUAUAUAUAUAUAUAAGUGUAUAUAUAUAUAUAUAGUAGAGUCUACCUAAUCAAGCACACAUAUGGAAAGGAAUCACUUGUUUCUUUCUUUUUUGUGGG